rnacentral:rRNA from 1 species
AGAUUAAGUUAUUAAGGGCGCACGGUGGAUGCCUUGGCACUAGAAGCCGAUGAAGGACGUUACUAACGACGAUAUGCUUUGGGGAGCUGUAAGUAAGCUUUGAUCCAGAGAUUUCCGAAUGGGGAAACCCAGCAUGAGUUAUGUCAUGUUAUCGAUAUGUGAAUAUAUAGCAUAUCAGAAGGCACACCCGGAGAACUGAAACAUCUUAGUACCCGGAGGAAGAGAAAGAAAAUUCGAUUCCCUUAGUAGCGGCGAGCGAAACGGGAAGAGCCCAAACCAACAAGCUUGCUUGUUGGGGUUGUAGGACACUCUAUACGGAGUUACAAAGGACGACAUUAGACGAAUCAUCUGGAAAGAUGAAUCAAAGAAGGUAAUAAUCCUGUAGUCGAAAAUGUUGUCUCUCUUGAGUGGAUCCUGAGUACGACGGAGCACGUGAAAUUCCGUCGGAAUCUGGGAGGACCAUCUCCUAAGGCUAAAUACUCUCUAGUGACCGAUAGUGAACCAGUACCGUGAGGGAAAGGUGAAAAGCACCCCGGAAGGGGAGUGAAAUAGAACCUGAAACCGUGUGCUUACAAGUAGUCAGAGCCCGUUAAUGGGUGAUGGCGUGCCUUUUGUAGAAUGAACCGGCGAGUUACGAUUUGAUGCAAGGUUAAGCAGUAAAUGUGGAGCCGUAGCGAAAGCGAGUCUGAAUAGGGCGUUUAGUAUUUGGUCGUAGACCCGAAACCAGGUGAUCUACCCUUGGUCAGGUUGAAGUUCAGGUAACACUGAAUGGAGGACCGAACCGACUUACGUUGAAAAGUGAGCGGAUGAACUGAGGGUAGCGGAGAAAUUCCAAUCGAACCUGGAGAUAGCUGGUUCUCUCCGAAAUAGCUUUAGGGCUAGCCUCAAGUGAUGAUUAUUGGAGGUAGAGCACUGUUUGGACGAGGGGCCCCUCUCGGGUUACCGAAUUCAGACAAACUCCGAAUGCCAAUUAAUUUAACUUGGGAGUCAGAACAUGGGUGAUAAGGUCCGUGUUCGAAAGGGAAACAGCCCAGACCACCAGCUAAGGUCCCAAAAUAUAUGUUAAGUGGAAAAGGAUGUGGCGUUGCCCAGACAACUAGGAUGUUGGCUUAGAAGCAGCCAUCAUUUAAAGAGUGCGUAAUAGCUCACUAGUCGAGUGACACUGCGCCGAAAAUGUACCGGGGCUAAACAUAUUACCGAAGCUGUGGAUUGUCCUUUGGACAAUGGUAGGAGAGCGUUCUAAGGGCGUUGAAGCAUGAUCGUAAGGACAUGUGGAGCGCUUAGAAGUGAGAAUGCCGGUGUGAGUAGCGAAAGACGGGUGAGAAUCCCGUCCACCGAUUGACUAAGGUUUCCAGAGGAAGGCUCGUCCGCUCUGGGUUAGUCGGGUCCUAAGCUGAGGCCGACAGGCGUAGGCGAUGGAUAACAGGUUGAUAUUCCUGUACCACCUAUAAUCGUUUUAAUCGAUGGGGGGACGCAGUAGGAUAGGCGAAGCGUGCGAUUGGAUUGCACGUCUAAGCAGUAAGGCUGAGUAUUAGGCAAAUCCGGUACUCGUUAAGGCUGAGCUGUGAUGGGGAGAAGACAUUGUGUCUUCGAGUCGUUGAUUUCACACUGCCGAGAAAAGCCUCUAGAUAGAAAAUAGGUGCCCGUACCGCAAACCGACACAGGUAGUCAAGAUGAGAAUUCUAAGGUGAGCGAGCGAACUCUCGUUAAGGAACUCGGCAAAAUGACCCCGUAACUUCGGGAGAAGGGGUGCUCUUUAGGGUUAACGCCCAGAAGAGCCGCAGUGAAUAGGCCCAAGCGACUGUUUAUCAAAAACACAGGUCUCUGCUAAACCGUAAGGUGAUGUAUAGGGGCUGACGCCUGCCCGGUGCUGGAAGGUUAAGAGGAGUGGUUAGCUUCUGCGAAGCUACGAAUCGAAGCCCCAGUAAACGGCGGCCGUAACUAUAACGGUCCUAAGGUAGCGAAAUUCCUUGUCGGGUAAGUUCCGACCCGCACGAAAGGCGUAACGAUUUGGGCACUGUCUCAACGAGAGACUCGGUGAAAUCAUAGUACCUGUGAAGAUGCAGGUUACCCGCGACAGGACGGAAAGACCCCGUGGAGCUUUACUGUAGCCUGAUAUUGAAAUUCGGCACAGCUUGUACAGGAUAGGUAGGAGCCUUUGAAACGUGAGCGCUAGCUUACGUGGAGGCGCUGGUGGGAUACUACCCUAGCUGUGUUGGCUUUCUAACCCGCACCACUUAUCGUGGUGGGAGACAGUGUCAGGCGGGCAGUUUGACUGGGGCGGUCGCCUCCUAAAAGGUAACGGAGGCGCUCAAAGGUUCCCUCAGAAUGGUUGGAAAUCAUUCAUAGAGUGUAAAGGCAUAAGGGAGCUUGACUGCGAGACCUACAAGUCGAGCAGGGUCGAAAGACGGACUUAGUGAUCCGGUGGUUCCGCAUGGAAGGGCCAUCGCUCAACGGAUAAAAGCUACCCCGGGGAUAACAGGCUUAUCUCCCCCAAGAGUUCACAUCGACGGGGAGGUUUGGCACCUCGAUGUCGGCUCAUCGCAUCCUGGGGCUGUAGUCGGUCCCAAGGGUUGGGCUGUUCGCCCAUUAAAGCGGUACGCGAGCUGGGUUCAGAACGUCGUGAGACAGUUCGGUCCCUAUCCGUCGUGGGCGUAGGAAAUUUGAGAGGAGCUGUCCUUAGUACGAGAGGACCGGGAUGGACAUACCUCUGGUGUACCAGUUGUCGUGCCAACGGCAUAGCUGGGUAGCUAUGUGUGGACGGGAUAAGUGCUGAAAGCAUCUAAGCAUGAAGCCCCCCUCAAGAUGAGAUUUCCCAACUUCGGUUAUAAGAUCCCUCAAAGAUGAUGAGGUUAAUAGGUUCGAGGUGGAAGCAUGGUGACAUGUGGAGCUGACGAAUACUAAUCGAUCGAAGACUUAAUCAAAUU